UUACGUUCUCGUUCACGCUCCUAGUCCGUGUUUUGAGUAGCAUCCUUUUGGCUAACAAUUCUUGUUUUCAGUGCAGCAUAUUUUUGUCUGCAGUUGAGAAUAAAUCAUUCUUCUCACCUGCAAGCCGCUUCCUGACGUUCCUCUGCAUCUUGGAAAGACGACCUCCGGCAUCUCAAUGCCACGUGUGCGGCACUCAGUGGAAAAAGUUUGGACACCCCUGCUAUACGGCGUCGAAUGGGUUCUGCAAAUUGACAAGUAAACACCGAACCAGCGGGAUUGCUGAUGCAGGACAACUAGGGGAGACGGGGGUCGUCUUGGUCUUGCUUCCGAUUGGUCGGCCGGGGGCGAGUGAAGCGGCACCGGGCCGUCUCGCAGGUCCCUUCCCGGCAAUGGAGGCCGACCCGCAGGCUCGGAGAAACCCGACUUACCCAAACAAUGUCGUGGGAGCCCUUGGAUCCACAAUUCGUCCCUUAUUUACGGCCGCUGCCCACUGCCUUUGUCUUCUGUUUACAAUCACGGCAACAGCAGUUUCUGCAAUUGUAACCACAGCUCCAAAACCAUGGAACCGCAAAGCGUCUAUCUUCCUCAAAGUGGAAUUUUGUGGGAUGAGAUUUUACGAGAAUUGCGGCUCACGACUUAAAACAGCCAUUAAUGGAAACACCUACAAGUCGCAAAUGCGCUUUGUCAAAAUUUUAGAAAUAUCCCUUUUAUUUUGUGAAAAACUGCAAAUAAAAACGCAGCAAGUGUUUGAACAUAGGAAAAUAAAACAGGUGGUUCUUUGGCUUACCACCAGAUAAC